rnacentral:rRNA from 1 species
CAGCUCUAAGUGGGUGGUAAAUUCCAUCUAAAGCUAAAUAUUGGCGAGAGACCGAUAGCGAACAAGUACAGUGAUGGAAAGAUGAAAAGAACUUUGAAAAGAGAGUGAAAAGGUACGUGAAAUUGUUGAAAGGGAAGGGCUUGAGAUCAGACUUGGUAUUUUGCGAUCCUUUCCUUCUUGGUUGGGUUCCUCGCAGCUUACUGGGCCAGCAUCGGUUUGGAUGGUAGGAUAAUGACUAAGGAAUGUGGCUCUACUUCGGUGGAGUGUUAUAGCCUUGGUUGAUACUGCCUGUCUAGACCGAGGACAGCGUCUUUGACUAGGAUGCUGGCAUAAUGAUCUUAAGCCAC